AGGGCAGACGGUGGAUGCCUUGGCUCUCGGAGGCGACGAAGGACGUGAUAAGCUGCGAAAAGCCCGGGGGAGGCGCAAAUAGCCGUUGAUCCCGGGAUAUCCGAAUGGGGCAACCCGGCAGGUUGAAGGCCUGUCAUCCCGAAAGGGAGGCGAACGUGGGGAACUGAAACAUCUAAGUACCCAUAGGAGGAGAAAAUAAACAAUGAUUCCGUAAGUAGUGGCGAGCGAACACGGAAGAGCCCAAACCCGUGCCGUCUAGGCGACACGGGGGUUGUAGGACCACGACGUGGCAAGAAGGAAGGGAAAUGGAACGACUUGGAAAAGUCGGCCAUAGACGGUGAAAGCCCGGUACAUGACUCCCUUACGAAGCCUAGUGGUAUCCUGAGUAGCGCGGGGCACGAGAAAUCUUGCGUGAAUUAGCGGGGCCCAUCCCGUAAGGCUAAAUACUCCCGAGAGACCGAUAGCGAACCAGUACCGUGAGGGAAAGGUGAAAAGAACCCCGAGCAGGGGAGUGAAAUAGACCCUGAACCCGUCUGCCUACAAGCGGUCGGAGCGUCGUAAUGACGUGACGGCGUGCCUUUUGCAUAAUGAACCUACGAGUUACCUUCCCCGGCAAGGUUAAGUACCUAAGGUACGGAGCCGAAGCGAAAGCGAGUCUGAACAGGGCGCCAAGUCGGGGGGGGUAGACGCGAAACCGAGUGAUCUACCCUUGGCCAGGUUGAAGGUUGGGUAACACCAACUGGAGGACCGGAUGGGUAAGCGUUGAAAAGCUUUCCAAUGAGCUGAGGGUAGGGGUGAAAGGCUAAUCAAACUCGGAGAUAGCUCGUACUCCCCGAAAUGCAUUUAGGUGCAGCCUCUUUAUAGUAUAUCGUGAGGUAGAGCGACUGAUUGGAUGCGAGGGCUUCACCGCCUAUCAAGUCCAGAUAAACUCCGAAUGCGCGAUAUAUAUUUACAGGGAGUGAGGGCGCGGGUGCUAAGGUCCGUGUCCGAGAGGAGAAGAAUCCAGACUACCGGCUAAGGCCCCCAAAUGAUCGUUAAGUUGAACUAACGAGGUCGGAUCGCAGAGACAGCUAGGAUGUUGGCUUGGAAGCAGCCAUUCAUUUAAAGAGUGCGUAACAGCUCACUAGUCGAGCGAUCUGGCGUGGAUAAUAAUCGGGCAUAAACGAUCUGCCGAAGCCGUGGAUGUCGCAAGACAUGGUAGGGGAGCAUUCCAUGCGGCGUCGAAGAUGAGGGAUGACCCUUGUUGGAGCGCAUGGAAAAGCAAAUGUAGGUAUGAGUAACGAUAAGGGGGGCGAGAAACCCCCCCGCCGAAAGACCAAGGUUUCCUGAUCAACGCUAAUCGGAUCAGGGUGAGUCGGGACCUAAGGCAAAGCCGAACGGCGCCGCCGAUGGAAGAAUGGGUUAAUAUUCCCAUACUGCCUCAUGGAGUGACGUGGAGACGGAGAAGUGACAGUCCUGCCGGCUGACGGAAUAGCCGGUUGAAGGGUGUAGAUAUUGAUUCCCGUAGGCAAAUCCGCGGGGAGAGUCGAACCUGAGAGUAUACGGAGCGCUUGCGCGACGUAAUAUGGACGUAACCAUGCUCCCGAGAAAAUCCGCUAAACUUAUCCAUGCGGCACCCGUACCGUAAACGGACACACGUGGUCGGGUUGAGAAUACUGAGGCGCUCGAGUGAUUCACGGUUAAGGAACUAGGCAAAUUGACCCUGUAACUUCGGGAUAAAGGGUCCUCGUCGUAAGGCGAGGCGCAGAGAAUAGGUCCAGGCAACUGUUUAACAAAAACACAUGGCUGUGCUAAAUGGAAACAUGACGUAUACAGCCUGACACCUGCCCGGUGCCGGAAGGUUAAGAGGAGAUGUCACUCGCAAGAGGAAGCAUUGAAUUGAAGCCCCGGUAAACGGCGGCCGUAACUAUAACGGUCCUAAGGUAGCGAAAUUCCUUGUCGGGUAAGUUCCGACCUGCACGAAUGGUGUAAUGAUCUGGACACUGUCUCAACCGUGAGCUCGGUGAAAUUGUAGUAUCGGUGAAGAUGCCGAUUACCCGCGAUGGGACGAAAAGACCCCGUGAACCUUUACUAUAGCUUAACAUUGAAUUUGGGUAAUUGAUGUGUAGGAUAGGCCGGAGGCUUUGAAGCAGGUACGCCAGUAUUUGUGGAGCCGCUGUUGAAAUACGGCCCUUUGAUUAUUUGAGUUCUAACCCGCGGCUGCGGGGACACUGUUUGGUGGGUAGUUUGACUGGGGUGGUCGCCUCCAAAAGCGUAACGGAGGCUUCUAAAGGUGCCCUCAGACCGAUUGGUAACCGGUCGCAGAGUGUAAUGGCAUAAGGGCGCUUGACUGGGAGACAUACAAGUCGAUCAGGUAGGAAACUAGAGCAUAGUGAUCCGGUGGUUCCGCAUGGAAGGGCCAUCGCUCAAAGGAUAAAAGGUACUCCGGGGAUAACAGGCUGAUCCCUCCCAAGAGCUCAUAUCGACGGAGUGGUUUGGCACCUCGAUGUCGGCUCGUCACAUCCUGGGGCUGGAGAAGGUCCCAAGGGUUGGGCUGUUCGCCCAUUAAAGUGGCACGCGAGCUGGGUUCAGAACGUCGUGAGACAGUUCGGUCUCUAUCUAUCGUGGGCGCAGGAGAUUUGAGGGGCUCUGACACUAGUACGAGAGGACCGUGUCGGACGUACCACUGGUUUACCGGUUGUCCCGCCAGGGGCACCGCCGGGUAUCUAAGUACGGAUCGGAUAAGUGCUGAAAGCAUCUAAGUACGAAGCCGGCCUCAAGAUUAGAUCUCCCUCAAGGGUGGUUAUAGACGAUGACCUUGAUAGGCCACAGGUGUAAGGGCGGCGACGUCCGAGCCGAGUGGUACUAAUAGCCCGGGACUUUCCUCA
rnacentral:rRNA from 1 species